UUAGUUCUGUGGGCUCAUGACAAAGUAAACCCUACAAGGACAUUUUGGGGGCUGUCCCUGACAAUGGUGAGCAUGCUCAUUGCGGAAUGAGAAGCCUAAAGUUGUUACCAUGGCCACCCACCUUAGCGAACCCGGGUUUACGGAUCAUCGAGCACCACAGAAUUUUU
rnacentral:other from 1 species